rnacentral:rRNA from 1 species
UGGGGAAUAUUGCACAAUGGGCGCAAGCCUGAUGCAGCCAUGCCGCGUGUGUGAAGAAGGCCUUCGGGUUGUAAAGCACUUUCAGCGAGGAGGAAGGUGGUGAACUUAAUACGUUCAUCAAUUGACGUUACUCGCAGAAGAAGCACCGGCUAACUCCGUGCCAGCAGCCGCGGUAAUACGGAGGGUGCAAGCGUUAAUCGGAAUUACUGGGCGUAAAGCGCACGCAGGCGGUUUGUUAAGUCAGAUGUGAAAUCCCCGGGCUCAACCUGGGAACUGCAUUUGAAACUGGCAAGCUAGAGUCUCGUAGAGGGGGGUAGAAUUCCAGGUGUAGCGGUGAGAUGCGUAGAGAUCUGGAGGAAUACCGGUGGCGAAGGCGGCCCCCUGGACGAAGACUGACGCUCAGGUGCGAAAGCGUGGGGAGCAAAACAGGAUUUAGAUACCCUGGUAGUCCACGCUGUAAAACGAUGUCGAUUUGGAGGUUGUGCCCUUGAGGCGUGGCUUCCGGAGCUAACGCGUUAAAUCGACCGCCUGGGGAGUACGGCCGCAAGGUUAAAA